UAUUAAAUACUGCACUUAAUCCAGGGUGGAAGUUCCCAAACUCUUUAUUAAUAGGACGAAGCCCAACUGGUGAUGAUCAACUUCAAAUGUCACGAAAAAUCAUGGAUAUUUUGGGAAUUGGAGGAAACUGCUGAGACAACUGAAUAUGCUAGGAUAGUGGCUCAACAAGAGCGACAGAAGUCUAUUUGUGUACUCAGUCAAAUGCCAAUGAAGAGACUGUGGGAACUUCAAGAGAAGAAAUAAACAGCAAGAGGUGAACAUCAGGGGAGGGACCCCUGUUUUCAGCUAAUGAAAACAUAUGCGUGAAGAUGCGGACACUGAGGAGUUCGGUCUUGCAGUCAUGGAUGGUGAGAAGGAACUGAGUGGCAGUUGGGCCUGCUCCGCCCUUUACAUCCUCAGUCACAGAUAACACAUAUCAUCAUCUGACAACGGGGAAGAAAUAUUUCAAGAGCUUUACUUACUUGGGAUGCGUGAAUUCGUCAAUGAGGACA